AGUGAACGCUGGCGGUAGGCCUAACACAUGCCAGUCGAACGGCAGCACAGUAAGAGCUUGCUCUUACGGGUGGCGAGGGGCGGACGGGUGGGGAAUACCUCGGAAUCUACUUUUUCGUGGGUGAUAACGUAGGGAAACUUACGCUAAUACCGCAUACGACCGACGGGUGAAAGCAGGGGAGCUUCGGACGUUGCGCGUGGGCAUGAGCCGAUGUCGGAUGAGCGAGUUGGCGGGGUAAAGGCCCACCUAGGCGACGAUCCGUAACUGGGCUGAGAGGGUGUAGCGCGCCACUGGGAGUGAGACGCGGUACAGGCUCCUACAGGCGGCCGAGGUGGCGACUGGAGGCAGAUGGGGGGAAGCCUGCACCAGCGAUGCAGGGUGGGUGAAGAAGGGCUUUGGGUUGUAAAGCCGUUUUGUUGGGGAAGAAAAGCAGCACGUUAGUAGCAGGCUGUUCUGACGGUACCCGGAGAAUAAGCACCGGCUAACUUCGUG
rnacentral:rRNA from 1 species